rnacentral:lncRNA from 1 species
GUGGUCUUUAACACAGGUGUUUGCUUCAUACAGGUGGUCUCUUUUGCAGGUUUGUAAAUAUAACGGAAUUUGAUGAGCCUGUCGUACAAGUGAGAGGUAUAGCGCUAUAAAACCAAGUUCAAUCCACCAUUUUCUACAUUUGAAAAUGCCUGUACCAAGUAAGGAAUAUGAUAGUUGUUGUCCAUUCGUUUUUUAUGUGUUUUGUCAUUUUAUUUUGCCAUGUGAUUAGGGACUUUCCGAUUGAAUUUUUCCCGGAGUUCAAUAUUUUUGUGAUUUAACUUUUGACUAUAUUUCUCUUUCGUAAAUUUAUUUUAAGCUCAACUGGCCCACUAGACGUCCGUUGAAUGUAGUUGUCCGUUUAUUUUGUACACACAAAUUAUCCACUAAAACUUCUGUGUCAAGUCACCAGCUCAGUAGUCAACACUUCGGUGUUGACAUGAAUAGCAAUAAUAUGGUAAUUUUU